rnacentral:rRNA from 1 species
UGGCGGACGGGUGAGUAAUGUCUGGGAAACUGCCCGAUGGAGGGGGAUAACUACUGGAAACGGUAGCUAAUACCGCAUAACGUCGCAGACCAAAGAGGGGACCUUCGGGCCUCUUGCCAUCGGAUGUGCCCAGAUGGGAUUAGCUAGUAGGUGGGGUAACGGCUCACCUAGGCGACGAUCCCUAGCUGGUCUGAGAGGAUGACCAGCCACACUGGAACUGAGACACGGUCCAG